rnacentral:rRNA from 1 species
CGGAGGGUGCGAGCGUUAUCCGGAAUUACUGGGUUUAAAGGGUGCGUAGGCGGCGUAUGUAAGUCAGGAGUGAAAGUUUGCGGCUCAACCGUAAAAUUGCUUUUGAUACUGCAUGGCUGGAAUUAGGAUGAGGUCAGCGGAAUGUGGCAUGUAGCGGUGAAAUGCAUAGAUAUGCCAUAGAACACCAAUUGCGAAGGCAGCUGGCUAGACCUGGAUUGACGCUGAGGCACGAAAGCGUGGGGAGCGAACAGGAUUAGAUACCCUGGUAGUCCACGCCCUAAACGAUGCUUACUCGACGUAUGAUGCUAGACAUUGUGCGUCCAAGGGAAACCGUUAAGUAAGCCACCUGGGGAGUACGACCGCAAGGUUG